AAUAGAUACCCGGGUAGUCCACGCCGUAAACGAUGAGUGCUAGGUGUUAGGGGGGUCCAACCCCUUAGUGCUGAAGUUAACACAUUAAGCACUCCGCCUGGGGAGUACGACCGCAAGGUUGAAACUCAAAGGAAUUGACGGGGGCCCGCACAAGCAGUGGAGCAUGUGGUUUAAUUCGAAGCAACGCAAAGAACCUUACCAGGUCUUGACAUCCUCUGACAACCCUAGAGAUAGGGCGUUCCCCUUCGGGGGACAGAGUGACAGGUGGUGCAUGGUUGUCGUCAGCUCGUGUCGUGAGAUGUUGGGUUAAGUCCCGCAACGAGCGCAACCCUUGAUGUUAGUUGCCAGCAUUCAGUUGGGCACUCUAACGUGACUGCCGGUGACAAACCGGAGGAAGGUGGGGAUGACGUCAAAUCAUCAUGCCCCUUAUGACCUGGGCUACACACGUGCUACAAUGGGCGGUACAAAGGGCAGCGAAACCGCGAGGUGGAGCCAAUCCCAUAAAGCCGCUCUCAGUUCGGAUUGCAGG
rnacentral:rRNA from 1 species